UAACUAUAAGCUUUAUCAAAGAGGAAUGUCUUAAGCCUACUCUUGAAUGUGGAGAGGGUGUCUGCCUCCCGAACCACAACUGGAAGCUGGUUCCACAGGAGAGGAGCUUGGUAACUGAAGGCUCUGGCUCCUGUUCUACUUUUAGAGACUAUAGGAACCACAAGUAGCCCAGCAUUCAGAGAACGUAGUGUUCUAGAGGGGUAAUAGGGUACUAUGAGAUCUUUAAGAUAUGAAGGGGCCUGACCAUGAAGGUCAGGAGGAGGAUUUUAAAUUCUAUUCUACAUUUUACAGGGAGCCAGUGCAGAGAAGCUAGUACAGGAGAGAUCUCCUAUCUAUUGUCCUCCCUGCCUUUACUGAGAGCUGUUGUACAAUCUGAUGGCCAGGGGGACGAAAGAGUUUUUGAAUCUAUUGGUGGAGCUGGACUGGGACAGAAGAAGAAGAAGGUGACCUGAUGAAGCUCAGGUGUUCCUGGACCCAUCAGAGGACAGAGACAGCUGCAGCAUCAGGACAGUCUGGGUAUCCAAAGGAAGACUGAUGAAGAUGAACACUGACUGCAGAGCUCCAUUACCAGCUCACACUUCAAUAUACUAGAAACCAUAAACCUUGAUGGAGAACACGAUCUGCACAGUUUACAUAAAAGUUAUAGCUUUGUUACUUACAACUUGUGUAACUGGAAUAUGAAUGAAAUAUAAAUAAAGUGUUUUACUUUUAAGAGUUUUGGUCAUUUUUAAAUUCAGUAAUAAGUGUGGUUUUAUAUAAAUAACAUGUUAUUUCACAAAGGUUUUAUGAAGAUUUUGAAAGAGUUGAAAAUCUGGUCAUCUAUCAAUAUGAAAAUGUGAAAUUUAAACCUGUAUUAAUGACUGUAAGCAACACAAUACAUUACUGUCUCACAUUCAAACUUUAUUAUGUUGGAAGAUAAAUUACAUCACAAUAUAUAAUAUAAAUGAUAGAAUAUUCAGUAUACAGUAUUUUUAAUGGGGUUUAAACAUAAUUGCGGCUUUUACAAAUAUCUGAAGGUUAACUUUGGUAAUAAUACUUUUAAGUUAAAAUAUCAGACUAUGAAAUAUGGAUACAGUACAGUUAACAGUUGGUUACUUAGCAGUUUUUCAACCCCAUAAACAAUUUACUUUAUUAGAUGAGUAAUUCCUUCAGUUAUGUUGACAUGUUGUACAGGAUAAAGUAUUCCAGGUUUCCAUGGUCUCAGUAAACUAAUGUGUAUAAAGAAUAUAACAGAUGGGAGGUUACAGUAAUCAUUAUACUAUUACUCUGAUUACUUUGGUACAUUUACUGGCUGUUUCUUCACUAGAAACAACUGCUGACUAAUG
rnacentral:lncRNA from 15 species